UACGUAGGGCGCAAGCGUUGUCCGGAAUUAUUGGGCGUAAAGAGCUCGUAGGCGGUCUGUCGCGUCUGCCGUGAAAACCCGAGGCUUAACCUCGGGCUGGCGGUGGAUACGGGCAGACUAGAGGUAGGUAGGGGAGAAUGGAAUUCCCGGUGUAGCGGUGAAAUGCGCAGAUAUCGGGAGGAACACCGGUGGCGAAGGCGGUUCUCUGGGCCUUACCUGACGCUGAGGAGCGAAAGCGUGGGGAGCGAACAG
rnacentral:rRNA from 1 species